UGGGGAAUAUUGCACAAUGGGGGAAACCCUGAUGCAGCGACGCCGCGUGAACGAAGAAGGUAUUCGUAUCGUAAAGUUCUGUCCUAUGGGAAGAUAAUGACAGUACCAUAGAAGAAAGCUCCGGCUAAAUACGUGCCAGCAGCCGCGGUAAUACGUUUGGAGCGAGCGUUGUCCGGAAUUAUUGGGCGUAAAGGGUACGCAGGCGGUUUAAUAAGUCGAAUGUUAAAGAUCGGGGCUCAACCCCGUAAAGCAUUGGAAACUGAUAAACUUGAGUAGUGGAGAGGAAAGUGGAAUUCCUAGUGUAGUGGUGAAAUACGUAGAUAUUAGGAGGAAUACCAGUAGCGAAGGCGACUUUCUGGACACAAACUGACGCUGAGGUACGAAAGCGUGGGGAGCAAACAGG
rnacentral:rRNA from 1 species